AAGGACUGGGCAAGACCGGUGCCAGCCGCCGCGGUAAUACCGGCAGUCCAAGUGAUGGCCGAUAUUAUUGGGCCUAAAGCGUCCGUAGCCGGCCGGACAAGUCCGUUGGGAAAUCGACGCGCUCAACGCGUCGGCGUCCAGCGGAAACUGUCCGGCUUGGGGCCGGAAGACCUGAGGGGUACGUCCGGGGUAGGAGUGAAAUCCUGUAAUCCUGGACGGACCACCAAUGGGGAAACCACCUCAGGAAGACGGACCCGACGGUGAGGGACGAAAGCUAGGGUCUCGAACCGGAUUAGAUACCCGGGUAGUCCUAGCUGUAAACGAUGCUCGCUAGGUGUGCCGUAGGCUAUGAGCCUGCGCUGCGCCCUAGGGAAGCCGAGAAGCGAGCCGCCUGGGAAGUACGUCUGCAAGGAUGAAACUUAAAGGAAUUGGCGGGGGAGCACCACAACCGGAGGAGCCUGCGGUUUAAUUGGACUCAACGCCGGACAUCUCACCNCUUUACUCGACGCUACUGAGAGGAGGUGCAUGGCCGCCGUCAGCUCGUACCGUGAGGCGUCCUGUUAAGUCAGGCAACGAGCGAGACCCGCACUUCUAGUUGCCAGCAAUACCCUUGAGGUAGUUGGGUACACUAGGAGGACUGCCGCUGCUAAAGCGGAGGAAGGAACGGGCAACGGUAGGUCAGUAUGCCCCGAAUGGACCGGGCAACACGCGGGCUACAAUGGC
rnacentral:rRNA from 1 species